UACGAGGGGGGCAAGCGUUGUUCGGAAUUACUGGGCGUAAAGAGUGUGUAGGCGGUGCUCUAAGUUCGGUGUGAAAUCUCCCGGCUCAACUGGGAGGGUGCGCCGGAAACUGGAGUGCUGGAGCGCGGGAGAGGAAAGCGGAAUUCCUGGUGUAGCGGUGAAAUGCGUAGAUAUCAGGAGGAAUACCUAUGGCGAAAGCAGGUAUCUGGGCCAUCACUGACGCUGAGCUGCGAAAGCUAGGGGAGCAAACAGG
rnacentral:rRNA from 1 species